AAAAGUCUAUGGUUAUUAAUGAGCAAUGCGUAAAAUCCGUUGCCUAAAGAUUGAAAAACAUAAAAAAAAUUAAAUAGAGAAUCUACUACAAAAGAUAAGCUAACUUAGGAUUAGAAACAUGGACCAGUCAUCUCUCACAUCUUCACACAUAAAAAGUCAUAAAUCAUGAUAUUCUCCCAACAUAACGAAUAUAUGAGGAAACAUAAGAGAUUCCAAUAACUAUCUUACUAACCAAUUGUACGAACAAC
rnacentral:lncRNA from 1 species